rnacentral:lncRNA from 1 species
UAUGAUAUAUCUUACUUUGUGCUCACUACUUAAUAAAAAAUUAGUGUUAAUUAAAAUUAUCUUUGAAAUACCUUGAGAUUUGGGUGGAUCAAUUACUUGGGCACUAUAUGCCUAGCUUAAUGGCUUUAAAGAAAGCAUUCUCGGGGAGACAACCCGAAAGUUUUGGAGGGUCAUUUAUUUAUCUUUGUGUGAUUUUAAAAAGUUCAAAAACAAAAAAAU